AUUUGCCGACCUCCUGGUCCUUGUCGGCUCCAACGCGGCCUGGUGCCAUCCUAUCCUCCACCAGCGCAUGAUGGCGGCAAAGGCCAAGAAUCCUGCUUGCCGCAUCGUUGUCAUCGAUCCGCGCCGGACCGCGACAUGCGAAGGCGCGGAUCUGCAUCUGCCCGUUCGUUCGGGCAGCGAUUCCGUUCUGUUCAACGGAUUGCUCGCUUAUCUCGCGAAGACGAAGGCAGCCGACGGCGCGUUCGUGGGCGACUUCACCACCGGGGCCGAGGCCGCGCUGGCGCAAGUCGGUGGCCAGACCG
rnacentral:misc_RNA from 1 species